rnacentral:lncRNA from 7 species
GCAGCCGCCGGCAGGUCCUGGCAGCGCCACUCCACUCCGCUCCGCUCCACGGCCCCGCCCGGUGCAGCAGUGGCAUCACCGGGACCGGCGCCAAACGGGCGGUGCCGGAGCCGUUCCGCUGCUCCGAGCGGCGCCGCGACGCUACGCCACGGAGAAGGACAGCACCACUCCCUGUCACAGCACCCUGGGCACUGACCCCACUCUUCGCCAUGGCCACCAAUUCCCCCGUGUUCCCCAUGGGCUCUGGGGUGACAACAGCGGUGCCACCCCAGGACCCUGCAGCAUUGGAAGGGAACAGGAACGGUGCGGCGGUGCCCAUGGGAGCCCCGAAGAGCCCUGAAGACUGAGCCCGGCGGGAGCCCCGCGCGCGUCCCCACUAAUACAAUAAAGCUCCGCUGCUG